GUGCUCACUUUGGUAGCACAUACACUAAAUUUGGAACGAUACAGACAAGGCCAGCAUGGUCCCUGUGUAAGGAAGACAUGCAACUUUGUUAAGUGUGUCAUAAACAA